AGCGAACGUUUGCGGCGGGCUUAACACAUGCAAGUCGAACGGGCUGUUCCUUCGGGGGGCAGUCAGUGGCGCACGGGUGCGUAACACGUAGGUAAUCAACCCUCUGGUUGGGGAUAACACUUCGAAAGGAGUGCUAAUACCCGGUAUGGCGCAGCGGUCUUCGGAUCGCGGCGAGAAAGACCCGCAAGGGUUGCCAGAGGACGAGCCUGCGGCCCAUCAGCUAGUUGGCGAGGUAACGGCUCACCAAGGCGAAGACGGGUAGCUGGUCUGAGAGGAUGAUCAGCCACACUGGAACUGAGACACGGUCCAGACUCCUACGGGAGGCAGCAGUGGGGAAUAUUGCGCAAUGGGCGAAAGCCUGACGCAGCCACGCCGCGUGAGUGAUGAAGGCC
rnacentral:rRNA from 1 species